GACGAACGCUGGUGGCGUGCUUAACACAUGCAAGUCGAACGAAGUGGCGAACGGGUGAGUAACGCGUAAUCAACUUGCCCUUCAAAGGGGGACAACAGUUGGAAACGACUGCUAAUACCGCAUACUGAAGGCGGGCAUUGCGUCUGAUUAGCUAGUUGGAUGGGGAACGGCCCACCAAGGCGAGGAUCAGGAGCAGGUAUGAGAGGAGGAACGGCGACAAGGGGACGGAGACAAGACCCAGACUCCUACGGGAGGCAGCAGGGGGGAAUCUGCCGCAAGGGACGAAAGUAUGACGGGGCAACGCCGCGUGAGUGAUGACGGCCUUCGGGUUAUAAAGCGCUGUUAAUCGGGACGCGGGACCGGAAUAGAAAGCCACGGCUGACUACGUGCCAGCCGCCGCGGUAAUUC
rnacentral:rRNA from 1 species